AACGAACGCUGGCGGCAUGCCUAACACAUGCAAGUCGAACGAUGCCUUCGGGCAUAGUGGCGCACGGGUGCGUAACGCGUGGGAAUCUGCCUUUCGGUUCGGAAUAACUCAGGGAAACUUGAGCUAAUACCGGAUAACGUCGCAAGACCAAAGAUUUAUCACCGAAAGAUGAGCCCGCGUAGGAUUAGCUAGUUGGUGAGGUAAAGGCUCACCAAGGCGACGAUCCUUAGCUGGUCUGAGAGGAUGAUCAGCCACACUGGGACUGAGACACGGCCCAGACUCCUACGGGAGGCAGCAGUGGGGAAUAUUGGACAAUGGGCGAAAGCCUGAUCCAGCAAUGCCGCGUGAGUGAUGAAGGCCUUAGGGUUGUAAAGCUCUUUUACCCGGGAAGGUAAUGACGGUACCGGGAGAAUAAGCCCCGGCUAACUCCGUG
rnacentral:rRNA from 1 species